AAAUUGCUGAAAUUUGGGAUUUGUCUUUCCAUUUCUCAAUUCUACGAUUCCAUGGUUGAUGCUUUUCUGAAGAUUUUUCCCGAGGUUGCACAUGGCUGGUCUAUGAGGUACAAAAAUAAAGAUGAAGUGGCUGUCAAAUCUGCUGAAGAGCACACCAAAACAUUUUGGGGUGGUUUAAGAAGCAUCCCAACACCGAGGUGAUAGUAUAUGUUUUGUUGUCGUCCAGACACAUGU